GACGAACGCUGGCGGCGUGCUUAACACAUGCAAGUCGAACGGAAAGGCCCCUUUGGGGGUACUCGAGUGGCGCACGGGUGAGUAACACGUGAGUAACCUGCCCUUGACUUCGGGAUAACUUCAGGAAACUGGGGCUAAUACCGGAUAGGAAUCCUUGCUGCAUGGUGGGGGUUGGAAAGCUUCGGCGGUUUUGGAUGGACUCGCGGCUUAUCAGCUUGUUGGUGGGGUAGUGGCUUACCAAGGCUUUGACGGGUAGCCGGCCUGAGAGGGCGACCGGCCACAUUGGGACUGAGAUACGGCACAGACUCCUACGGGAGGCAGCAGUGGGGAAUAUUGCACAAUGGGCGGAAGCCUGAUGCAGCAACGCCGCGUGCGGGAUGACGGCCUUCGGGUUGUAAACCGCUUUCAGCAGGGGCGAAGCUUGUGGUGACGGUACCUGCAGAAGAAGCACCGGCUAACUACGUG
rnacentral:rRNA from 1 species